GCCCUAGUAGCUUAGCGUUAAAGCGCCGGUCUUGUAAUCCGGAGAUUGGAGGUUAAACCCCUCCCUAGUGCU
rnacentral:tRNA from 3 species